CUUAGAGUUUGAUCCUGGCUCAGGACGAACGCUGGCGGCGCGCCUAACACAUGCAAGUCGAACGAGAGAUGAGGAGCUUGCUCUUCAAAUCGAGUGGCGAACGGGUGAGUAACGCGUGAGGAACCUGCCUCAAAGAGGGGGACAACAGUUGGAAACGACUGCUAAUACCGCAUAAGCCCACGGCUCGGCAUCGAGCAGAGGGAAAAGGAGCAAUCCGCUUUGAGAUGGCCUCGCGUCCGAUUAGCUAGUUGGUGAGGUAACGGCCCACCAAGGCGACGAUCGGUAGCCGGACUGAGAGGUUGAACGGCCACAUUGGGACUGAGACACGGCCCAGACUCCUACGGGAGGCAGCAGUGGGGAAUAUUGCACAAUGGGGGAAACCCUGAUGCAGCGACGCCGCGUGGAGGAAGAAGGUCUUCGGAUUGUAAACUCCUGUUGUUGAGGAAGAUAAUGACGGUACUCAACAAGAAAGUGACGGCUAACUACGUGCCAGCAGCCGCGGUAAAACGUAGGUCACAAGCGUUGUCCGGAAUUACUGGGUGUAAAGGGAGCGCAGGCGGGAGAACAAGUUGGAAGUGAAAUCCAUGGGCUCAACCCAUGAACUGCUUUCAAAACUGUUUUUCUUGAGUAGUGCAGAGGUAGGCGGAAUUCCCGGUGUAGCGGUGGAAUGCGUAGAUAUCGGGAGGAACACCAGUGGCGAAGGCGGCCUACUGGGCACCAACUGACGCUGAGGCUCGAAAGUGUGGGUAGCAAACAGGAUUAGAUACCCUGGUAGUCCACACCGUAAACGAUGAUUACUAGGUGUUGGAGGAUUGACCCCUUCAGUGCCGCAGUUAACACGAUAAGUAAUCCACCUGGGGAGUACGACCGCAAGG
rnacentral:rRNA from 1 species